rnacentral:rRNA from 1 species
UACGUAGGUGGCAAGCGUUGUCCGGAUUUACUGGGCGUAAAGAGCGCGCAGGCGGCUCGAUAAGUCUGCUGUGAAAUCUCCCGGCUUAACUGGGAGGGGUCAGCGGAUACUGUCGGGCUUGAGGCAGGUAGAGGAAGGUGGAAUUCCCGGUGUAGUGGUGAAAUGCGUAGAUAUCGGGAGGAACACCAGUGGCGAAGGCGGCCUUCUGGGCCUGUCCUGACGCUGAGGCGCGAAAGCGUGGGGAGCGAACCGG